CACUCCAUUUUAUUAUUCUCCAAGCAAAAGAAGCACGGAAAUGAUAUUUUGGCUGCACUUCGUUUUUGUUUCCACACUUUUCAGAGAUGUCCAAUCAGAGAUAAAAUUGGAAGAGUCUGGAGGGGGUCUAAAAAGGCCUGGUGAUUCCAUUUUGCUCUCUUGUAAAGCCUCUGGUUUCACGUUCAGGAGCUACUACAUGGAGUGGGUGAGACAAGCUCCUGGAAAGGGCCUGGAAUGGGUUGCCGAGAUAGGUACAUCCUCGAAUUACCCUGCUUACUCAAAUGCAGUGAGAGGACGCUUCGUCAUCUCCAGGGAUGAUUCCAAUAGUCUGCUAUAUUUGCAAAUGAACAACCUGAAAACAGAAGACACUGCAGUAUACUAUUGUGCAAGAGACACAGUGAAGGGAAGUGAAUAUGAAGCCAACCCAAAAGUCUCACAUGAUUAUGAAAUCUUUCCCCUCGCAUCCAUCUAUCCUCUGACAAUGGGGAACUGUGGAACAUGA